AUGAUUCUAAGGUUGAAGCAAUCUGAGAAUGGCCAACUCCUAAGACUAAGAAGCUUUCAUGGCCUUGCAACUUUCUAUAGGCGAUUUGUUAAUAAUUUCAACACUAUCAUGGCACCAAUUACCGAGUGUUUGAAGAAAGGAAAGUUCAAAUGGGCAAAAGCAGCUGAAGCUAGCUUCAAUGAGAUUAAACAAAAGCUAUCACAAGCUCCUGUCUUGGUACUACCUAAUUUCAACAAGACUUUUGAGUUGGAGUGUGAUGCAAGUGGAGUAGGCAUUGGAGCUGUCCUAUCUCAAGAAAGGAAGCCCAUUGCUUUCUUUAGUGAGAAGUUAAGUGAAGUUAGACAGAAAUGGAGUACCUAUCAGCAAGAAUUAUACGCCGUUUUCAGAGCGUCGAAAACUUGGGAAGUCUAUUUGCUGCCUAAAGAGUUCAUCGUUUAUAGCGACCAUCAAUCCUUGAAGCAUUUUAGAAAUCAAAAGCAUGUUGACCGCAUGCUAGCAAGAUGGGCAGCAUAUCUUGAGAGGUUUAACUAUCUCAUCGUGCAUAAAUCUGGAAUAACUAACAGAGUGGCCGAUGCUUUGAGUCGUCGUGCAUGCCUCUUGACUUCUUUUGAAGCUGAACUUCCGGGCAUGGGUCAAAUAAAGGAGUUGUAUGAGGGUGACGAAGACUUUGGCCAUGUUUGGGUAAAGCAUGCAAGGGGCCAACCAUUAGGUGAUGACUAUUUGAUGCAAGAUGGAUAUCUCUUCAAAAAUGAUCGUUUGUGCAUUCCAAGAAGUUCUCUAUGUGACAAGCUGGUUAGAGAGCUCCAUUCAAGUGAUCUUAGUGGCCAUGUUGGACGGGACAAGACUAUCGCUAACCUGGAAGCUCGCUACUUUUGGCCACAACUAAAGAGAGAUGCUGGAAAGUUCGUUCAACGGUGCCCCGUAUGUCAGACCUGCAAAGGCCAAGUCCAGAACACAGGGUUAUACAUGCCUUUGCCUGUUCCUGUUGCUCCAUGGGAGGACAUUUCUAUGGACUUCGUCUUGGGCUUGCCAAGAACAAGACGAGGAAGUGAUGCUGUAUUUGUGGUCGUGGAUAGAUUCUCUAAGAUGGCUCAUUUCAUCCCAUGCCGCAAGACAACGGAUGCUCAUCAUGUGGCAAACCUAUUCUUUCGAGAAGUGGUCAGACUUCAUGGAGUUCCAAGGUCCAUUGUCUCAGACCGUGAUAGCAAGUUUCUUGCUGCAUUUUGGCUCACUUUGUGGAAGCAAUUCAACACUGAAUUGAAAUUUUCUAGCACUGCUCAUCCACAAACAGAUGGACAAACGGAAGUGGUGAACAAGUUUUUGGGUAAUCUGAUCCGUUGCAUUUGUGGAGAAAGAAAGGGGCAAUGGGAUUUGGCUUUAUCUCUUGCAGAGUUCUCCUACAAUAACUCCAAGCAUAGAUCCACAUGA
rnacentral:rRNA from 1 species